rnacentral:tRNA from 1 species
UAGCCUAGUGGUUAAGGCUAUGGAUCGCCAAUCCGGAGGCAGCGGGUUCGAUUCCCGU